AAAUUUAAUGGCAAUUUUAAGGUAAAUGCAAGAUUGUCAGUCACAUGUUUAUGCUAUAAUUGCUGCUUUUCUGCUUUCUCUUAUUUAUUUAUUUUGAUGGAAAAUAACAGGAUAUAAAUGACAAUUGCAAUUUUUUAAAUCACAUUUAAAACUUGGAUAUUAUACAUGGAAAAGAUUUUAAUUUUAUAGUUUGAGUACGGCAAGUGCUUGAUAUCCAUUGUAUGUCUAGUGUAGUCAUGGCUUUGUUUGGUGUAGGACGAUGUCAUAGUUCCUAGAUGCAUGCAUUAAAUGAUCGCGUGGCACAAAGCUGUCUGAUUAUGCUAGCUUUUGAUUGAAUUAUAAAGUAGGAUCUGGACAACUGAGUCAUGGUGAAUAUAGGCUUAUGGUAUUUGCUAGUGCAUUUGUCCUUAUAUCAUGGGAGAUUAUUUCUUCCAUGUAAUUUUAGUUUUAUUCUAGGGCUUCUAUUUGUAAUCAUAAAUCAGUUUCUAUUUCAUGGAAUGAAGGGGGAAAAACGUGUAAUCGUAAAUUUCGUGAGUGAGGGAGGUAGUAGUUUUAAGACUGUUUCAUUUCUAUAAGUUUGGUUCAUUUACGAAAAUGGAGAGGGAUUUGAAGGCUUAAUGUGCUGAAGUACUCCCCAGCUUAGAAAGUGGGUACCAUGAGAUAUGAAGCUCAAUGCUCAUGAUCUCUAAAGUAACUUGAUAAUGAUUCAUUUGAAGUUAAACAUUGUAAUGUGAGGAGUAUCCCAUAUGGUUUCUAGCUGGCAUAUC
rnacentral:misc_RNA from 1 species